rnacentral:rRNA from 1 species
GACGAACGCUGGCGGCGUGCUUAACACAUGCAAGUCGAACGGAAAGGCCCCUUCGGGGGUACUCGAGUGGCGAACGGGUGAGUAACACGCGAGUAACCUGCCCUUGACUUCGGGAUAACUUCAGGAAACUGGGGCUAAUACCGGAUAGGAAUCCUUGCUGCAUGGUGGGGGUUGGAAAGCUUCGGCGGUUUUGGAUGGACUCGCGGCUUAUCAGCUUGUUGGUGGGGUAGUGGCUUACCAAGGCUUUGACGGGUAGCCGGCCUGAGAGGGCGACCGGCCACAUUGGGACUGAGAUACGGCCCAGACUCCUACGGGAGGCAGCAGUGGGGAAUAUUGCACAAUGGGCGGAAGCCUGAUGCAGCGACGCCGCGUGCGGGAUGACGGCCUUCGGGUUGUAAACCGCUUUCAGCAGGGGCGAAGCUUGUGGUGACGGUACCUGCAGAAGAAGCACCGGCUAACUACGUG